GGAGCUGUGGCUCAGUGGUAGAGCUUCUGCUUGGUAUGCGGAAGGCCGUAGGUUCAAUCCCCAGCAUCUCCA